GGUACAUCAGUGUCUCCACUCUAGAGAUGAAUAUAAUACGCCAAAAGUAAGUGUCUGAUCCCAGCUUCUUUUAUUGUGGAUUGUGGGUACGGUGAGCAAUACAUUGAUUCACAAGUACGUCUUGCAGCACAGAAAUUAUUCCGUUCAAAGUGAAUUACACGGCAUAAAUCAAACAUGCGCUGAGCCUACUAAUGCGACUACCAGUACUGUUGCACUACUAGAACCCAAUGGCAUGAUGGUGCAGCAAAUAUGGUUUUUUAUUAGAUAGUUUUCUGCACUGUAUAUGUGAUGAAUUCACAAAUUUAUGAUUUUGAGGUACUGGUGAAGGUAGAUUCAAAUGAGUGAUGCAAAUUCAGAAUUGCAUAGGUAGUGCCUACGACUGACUAAGGGUACAUGAGUUGGAAGAAAGUCCAAGCAGAAGGAACUCCUACAGAUGCCCAGGCUGCUACUGUGCCUAUCUUAAGGUAUUGCUUCAGCGGUGGUAUUAGUUGUUAUUCUUUCCUGAUACAGACAUGACUCUUUGAGCUCCACCAAGGCAUAUAUAACAAGAAGAUAAGCUUGGUUCAUUUUUUUAUCAAGCAGGGGAAAUGAAAGGACGAUGCGCCGUACAUUCUAGAUUAUUUAUCAGUGUUAAUCCGUAUUAACUAAUUUUAUAGCCAUUGUAAUUAGCAAUAGAGAAAUGUUUGCUGAUAUUUUUUACCUGCGAGACCAUAGUACUUUCUUGUUUUCUUUCUGUAAUAAGUGCGAGAUACGAGCAAUAAUAAUAUAUUGGAGUUUAUUCAUGGAUGAAGCGGUUCAUCUCAAGAUAUAUAACAUUCAUGUUUCCCUUCCUAAUGUUUCUUUGGUGAAGUCAUAACCUAUUUAUGUUUCAAUGCAAUUCUGUUCAAUUUGCAAUUGUUUCCUACUAUGCAGGGUGAUCUUGACCUGAUUUUGCUUUCGAACUGAAUUGUGGUAAUCAAGCAGGGAGACGAGACGUUGUUGAGCUGUUUUUCGGUAGAUUUGAGCUACCUAGAGUUGAGCUAGGCACCAGACGAGCAGAAGCACAAACGUAGGAGGUAUCCAACAACGACAACCGCAACGCCAUUCCACUUAAACCUGGAGACCAGAGAAAGGAUGCGGUACCACUGCUCUUCUUUCUCCUUACUAAAUCUCUGAAAAGGGAUGCUCAUAUAAUUACUAAUAAUUUAGUUGCAAGUCUUCUGUAAGAGCCUUGAUGUACUUUAUCUCAUGGUUUGGGUUGUGAAAGAAUUUUGGAAGGACCACAAGGUAGUCUUCAGUUCAGUUUGUCCAUUUAUAGUGUUGAUGUAUCUAGCUACUUGUAUCUGCUUUCUUUUGUUGUAAAAUGAAAUAGCAUUCUUGCUGAUCAAUGAAAUUAGAAAAUCAACAAACUACAUUGUUCCUUUUUUUCUUUUCUUUUUCUAUCCUUGAAGAUAUUUAAUGAUGUGAUCUGAAACUUUUAGUUUUGUUCUAUUAUGCAAAGUUAAGAGUUUUCGGGAUAAAAUUCUAAUUUGGGCCACUCUCUUUUUUACAAGAGUUCUAGGAAAAUUUACAUUGAAAUUUGUCACAUGCAAACUGGAGGAAGGGGCAAUAAGCAGAGAAUUCCCCUCAAGAUGUGAACCGCAUUGAUGCCCUCGGUAUGUGUGUUGCUACUGCUGAAUGAUGCUCCCUUGUCGUUGUUGCUAUAGUACGAUUUAGUACAGCUUGUCUAAAUGGGUUAGAAGAGGGGUUAUGAAAUGUUUUGUUGGAGUUUAAAUAUUCUUUCAUGUAUUAAACUGAUAAGUUGUGCACUUUUGCUGCUGUUAGAUAAACUGACUACUCUGUACUGUUGGAUAGCCAUGGUAUGUGUUAGUUUUAUUUUACCACAAAAGUUUCUUGGGAGUUGGGAUAUCAGGUGUAUUCAUUACUUUUCCUAGGAAUAUAUUCUAUUUUGGUGCACUGUAUAUCUAUCUAAUCUAUCUAUCCAAGUUUUCAAAGAAAUUGAUGGCGGCGGCUUGGCCGUGUCGUGGUGAAUGGCGAAGCUUCGAAACUGAACAUGAGAAAGGUGUUGACGCGCGGUUGGGAGACGUACAUACUUGAGGAAAUAUGAUUCAUAAGGUUUCAUAUUAACGAAAACUGAUAAUCUGAACAUUUUGUUUAUUCCUGGAUGACUUUAUUCUUCAAUAUGAAUAUGUAAGAAAAGAUAUGACAUACAUUUGUGUAAAUUGAUAAUGUAGGGUCAUCUCGAAACUUUAUUAUUUUUUCAAGAUUGAUUUACUUGGUGGUGUUAACUUCCAUUUUCUCGAAACAGGACAUGUGUUCUAUUUCUGAAAAAAGAAGCUUCUCUGUUAGCUAGCAUCCCCGACGGUACUUUUAGACUGGAUGUAGACCAGUAGGGUCAAUUAAAAAU
rnacentral:lncRNA from 1 species